AGAUAAGAAAUGAUUUAUCAUUUAUGAUUUCGGCUCAUACCUAGAUGCUCCUGCAUCCUUAUCUU
rnacentral:tRNA from 1 species